CCUACGGGAGACUGCAGUCGAGAAUCAUUCACAAUGGGGGAAACCCUGAUGGGGCGACGCCGCGUGGGGGAAUGAAGGUCUGCGGAUUGUAAACCCCUGUCAUGUGGGAGCAAAUUAAAAAGAUAGUACCACAAGAGGAAGAGACGGCUAACUCUGUGCCAGCAGCCGCGGUAAUACAGAGGUCUCAAGCGUUGUUAGGAAUCACUGGGCGUAAAGCGUGCGUAGGCUGUUUCGUAAGUCGUGUGUGAAAGGCGCGGGCUCAACCCGCGGACGGCACAUGAUACUGCGAGACUAGAGUAAUGGAGGGGGAACCGGAAUUCUCGGUGUAGCGGUGAAAUGCGUAGAUAUCGGGAGGAACACUCGUGGCGAAGGCGGGUUCCUGGACAUUAACUGACGCUGAGGCACGAAAGCCAGGGGAGCGAAAAGGAUUAGAUACCCGUGUAGUC
rnacentral:rRNA from 1 species